GACGAACGCUGGCGGCGUGCUUAACACAUGCCAGUCGAACGGAAAGACCCUGCGCUUGCGGCGUGCUCGAUAGGCGAACGGGGGAGUAACACGUGAGUAACAUCCCCUUGACUUUGGGGGAACUUCUGGGAACAGGGGCUAAUAUCCGGGAGAAUAUCCUGCUCCAUGGUGGGCAUUAGAAAGUUACGGCGGUUGGGGAUGGACUGGCUGCUUAUCAGCUUGUUUGGGGGGUAGUUGCUUACCAGGGUUAUGACGGGUAGCCUGCCUGGGCGAGUGACCAGCCACAUUGGUCCUGCGAUACGGCCCAGACUCCUACGGGACGCAGCAGUGGGGAACAUUGCACAAUGGGCGGAAGCCUGAUGCAGCAACGCCGCGUGCGUGAUGCCGGCCUUCGGGUUGUAAACAGCUUUCGCCUGUGACGAAGCGUGAGUGACGGUAAUGGGUAAAGAAGCACCGGCUAACUACGUG
rnacentral:rRNA from 1 species